CUGCUGCCUCCCGUAGGAGUCUGGUCCGUGUCUCAGUACCAGUGUGGGGGACCUUCCUCUCAGAACCCCUACGCAUCGUCGGUUAGGUGGGCCGUUACCCCGCCUACUGCCUAAUGCGCCGCAUGCCCAUCCCUGUCCGGCCGAAGCCUUUCCUGCCUCCGGGAUGCCCCGGUGGCAUGUACGCGGGUUUAGCCCGCCUUUCGGCGGGUUGUCCCCCUCGACAGGGGCAGGUUGCAUACGUGUUACUCACCCGUGCGCCGGUCGCCGGCGGAGAAG
rnacentral:rRNA from 1 species